UCCUGUCCUCUGGAACUGCUGCUGUCAGCAUAGACAUCACGAUAAACUAAGGAAAAAAGCAGUUUGUCCAUCAGGCUGUAAACGUGUUGUGUCUGACUCACUGCUGGAGCCUCUAGAGGACAUUACAGGAACUGCAGGUUUGGGGAUUUUUGUGUUAACUAUCGUGGACCCGAGGAAGCCCCUCGAUGCUUCAAGUACAGUUGCUUUUACUUUCGUAAGCCUUCGGCUGCCCAACCUACCUCUGAAUCUCGGACGGAGACGUGGGUGGAAGACGGCUCGACUUUAGGAAAGUCUUCCUCUUCCUCCUCUGCUGCGGGGGUCUCGUCGCCGCUGGGAGGCAUUAACAUCUGACUCUGUGUGAUUUCCCGGAUGUGCUGCAGUGGAGAGACGAGGCCUCGGCGCCCGGAGCUGCUCCAUCAGGGUUUGAAGUCCCUGCACCACCUGCCAUCGCUCGGGCUCCCCUCCCACGACGCACGGACAAAUGAAAGCCCAGUAGCUCUCAUUACUGCAGAAACAUCAGCGCUCGUCCUCGCUCCCAGGUCAUCGAAUAGCUCGUUCUGUCAGAGCCGCCGGUGCCUGAGAUCAGCACGAGGCUUCCUUUAGCCGAGGUGCCGUGACCCACAGACCACAGCUGAGAGCAAACUGCUGUUUGAAAGAGACCAAGAUUUAAUAAGAGCGCUGCUCACCUUCAUCAAGAAAGAUCCCUCCACACCGGGCGUGACCUGAGGUCGUCCAUCCAGACCGAUAUCAGUUGGCAGAUUUUAUGCUUCAAGUUGGAGGAGAAGCAGAGUCGGGUCGUGGAGGCAGCAGUCUGUCCUCAGGGUCCCAAAGUGUUUCCAGGACAAAUCAUCUCCAAUGAGC